rnacentral:rRNA from 1 species
GCCCGUGGGGCCGGGUGCUCCGCGGGCCCCGCCGCGGCGGGGCUCCCCACUGGGCACACACGGUCAGCUCACAUCACCGCCAUCACACGUCGCCACAGUCACCCCACACAGCAGGGGGCACCCUUCGGGCCCUCCUUGCCCAUCGGCAUGUGCCCCAGCAUGGGCAUUCAGCUCAGUCAGGUGGGGGUCACACGGCUUCCCCUCAGGCGCACGCAUCCCUCAGCUGGUCUGCAGCAGGCAUGCACCCCAGCCNACUCACUUGGCACACUGCAGCACCCGGUCCCAGCACUCCUCACGGGGGUCAGGCCAGCGCAGUGGGGGCACAUCAUUGGCUACCACAUGGGGC